GGAUGAGAGGUGGGAGGAUCCUUAUAAAGUCAUUGUGUAGUAGGGUGGCUUUAUGAUUCGCCCUUUGAUAUGGCAACUCCUAAGGACCUCUUCCACACCACAAUUUUACUGGCUGAUUCAUCACUCCCACAUGGUGGUUUGGUGGUGCCUAAAGUCACCCUAUUACUCCCACAUGGCGUGAGGGUGGGUUAGGUGGCUCCGCUUUGAAGAUAUUAUUUUCGUAAAUUAUUUUAAAAUUAAUAGUAAAUUAGUAUAUGGUACAAAAAAAAAUAACAUUUGUUAUGGUGCUUUCAAAGAGGGCAUUGCAAAUGAUGCUUUUGAAAAUGCCACUU
rnacentral:lncRNA from 1 species